UUCCACCUCAAUAAAUUCCACAAUGUCAACAAUAUCGUCAUAAUGAGUAUGUACUCCACUGGUGGAUUCGCAAAGAUGAUGUGAAAUAUUUUUAAUUUGUUUUUGAUUACAGUAAAUAAUCAAGAAAUAAAUCGCCAUCAUUAAAUAGCAACACAUUGCUCUGACACUUGAUGUCUUGGCAACAAUAACAACAACAAUUAUAAUGUAUAGUAAGUUUGGGGAGGGGAAAACAGAAAUGUGUUGGUUUUAAAAGGCAUUUAAUAGAUUGAGUCUAUAUAAAACAUUAAAACAACAAUGACAAGGGAAAUGAAUUGAAAAUGAAGUAGGAGGACAUUUGACUAAAUAUUUAUAUUUAUACAAGGACUUGCAAUUGCAAGACAUACUAAAGUCUACUCACACCCUCUCCUCUCUUACACCAACAAGCAACUACAUACUCAAGGACAGACACUUUGAAAGGACACUUGAAAAGACGUUAAGUUUGUAUAAUAUUUAAAAAAAAGUAAAAUAGAAACAGAGAAAGAAAAAUACAAUACACAAGAAAAAGAAUUAAAGUUCAAAGGAAUUGCAGAAAUGAAAGACAAGCCAGUGAAGUAAAAUAAAAUGAAAUGUAAGUACAGUGAAGUAAAUAAAAAAUACUUCUUUUCUGUAAUUUUAAUGCAGAAAAAACAACAACAAAUGAAAUUAUAAAACAAAAUGUUAAAAAGCAUAAAACGAAAUAAAAAUAUAGAAACUCAAGAAAUGAAGUGUGUUUGUUGUUUGUAUGACGGCACGCUAAGUCAACAUAAUUAAAGCAAUCAAGUAUGACUUCAAGUAGAAAGUUAGCCCUUAGACAAAUUGGUCUUUAGCUUAGAAAAAACAACAGCAACAGCAGCAAUAUACAACCUAACAGCUAAAAUAUCUAAAAAAAUAUACAUACAAAUGUUUAACUAAAUGCCGCUGCCAUAGUAAGAGAUUGCGUGGUUAAAAUUCUUUAUGUUAAACGAAGAACUGUAACUUCCAUAUUUUUCACUAAGCACAAAGAAUGACGAACUGCUUGAAUGGCAGAGGUUUACUUUGUUUUUUUAAUGAAAA